CCCAAGGCAGUUCAACUCAGUGCCAAGUCCAAGGACAUCAAAACAGUUUCCAGGUCUUUAAGAAUGGAGGUGCCAUAAGGAUUCCAUCUGUGCUCUGCAGACUUGCCCUCCCAAACCUCCCUAACAGUAGAAGAAAGUGAGAAAGAACUUGACCUAUACAGAUGCCCUCUCCAUCCUCUACCUGGGAGUGGGGGGCAAUACCCACCACAGUGAUCACAAAAUGGAAAAUGCUUUGAAGUCUUAUAUUUGAGGCUAAAAAUUAAUGAGAGUUGUAUCCUACUGCAUACUAUUCUGUCUUUAAUGUAAAAGAGCUUAAAAUGAUUCCCAACUGGAGAACAACAAAAGAUUUUCUGCCUAACUCAUGGGUUCAUGAGGGAGCUGCUUGAUAAAAACAAUAGCUGAUACUUAAUACUUCCUCUAAACUAGGUCUUCAGAAACAAAGAAAGUCUGAGAAAUUGCCAUAAUCCAGAGGAGCCCAAGAAGACAUGAUGACUAAAUGUAAUGAAGUAUUCUGAAGGAGAUCCUGAAAUAGAAAAAGAUGCCUGUUGAAGUAUUAAGAUAUGUACAUGUAAACCAGAAAGAUGCACAUUAAAUUCAUAACAAUGGUGGCCUCUGGUUAGGAAGGCAGGGGACAGGAGGAGAUGGAGUACAAAGGACCUUGAACUUUAUCCGCAACAAAGAACUUAAAGAAAAACAAACUGAAGUAAAUCCAACAAAGUAGUAGCAUCUGUUGAUUCUGGACACUCCCAGGCCACGCAUUAAGAAGGAAAUCUGUAGCCACUUUGUUAAAAUUGGUACAAACAGAACAUCUCACAUUUCGAAACUGUCACUCCACUGAGAGUCAUUCACAUAAACAACGAGGUCCUCAUGGGUUUGAUGGCAACACAAACACCACUUGUGACUCAAUUAAGGAAGCGGUAAUUAAAAAGGGGGAACAGCGUGCAAUCUCUCCAAUGUAUCUUCCCUCUGAGGCCUGGGACGCUGACAGGUAGGAUCUGGGGAACUUCUGGGGGGUCUUCCCUGGGGCCUGCUCCUGCCCUGGACAGAGGUUUCCCAAGGUGAAGUAGGAAGGGAGAAAAGAUAGGGACAUAUAGCCCUGGACCUUGGCUAGUGAUCCAUCUCUUCCACCAGGAAGUUGUGUAAGUUAACAAAGAUUUUCAUAAAAUAACAAAGUGUGCCAAGGAGAUAAAACGUUGUCCCCUGGAGAUUAGUCACAAUUUCUUGGCUCUCAAAUGAUGACAGCCAAUGUCUUUUAUUUUUACUAUGUUCCAGGCACUGUUGUGAGAUGUUUAUAGCCAUUGAAUCAUAAUAACCCCAUGAGACAGCAACCACGGGUAGCUCUGUUUUUCCAGAUAAGGAAACUGAGGCCCAGACCCACAGUCUUGCAGCUAAGAGACGAAGCUAGAAGUUAAACUUGGGGAGUGCGCUCUAACCAAUUGCCUCUCACUUUCUGAAAUCCCCUUUCCCAGCCUGGGCCCUCCUAGUAAGCUUUUCCAUUUGUUAAACACCUACUCUGUUCUAGGAAU